rnacentral:rRNA from 1 species
GACGUAGGGCGCGAGCGUUGUCCGGAUUUAUUGGGCGUAAAGAGCUCGUAGGCGGUUUGUCGCGUCGGCCGUGAAAACUUGGGGCUUAACUCCAAGCUUGCGGUCGAUACGGGCAGACUUGAGUUCGGCAGGGGAGACUGGAAUUCCUGGUGUAGCGGUGAAAUGCGCAGAUAUCAGGAGGAACACCGGUGGCGAAGGCGGGUCUCUGGGCAAUUCCUGACGCUGAGGCGCGAAAGCGUGGGGAGCAAACGGG